GGGAGCAGAUGGCAAGGGCCAGGUUAAAGCCAGGACCUCCUCCAUUUGCCCCACCUUUCCACCCAGCUCUUGCCAGCCUCCUCCCCCAGGGGCACGCACUUGAACUCCUGCACCCAGGGCAGCAUGCGCCGGUCCUCGGGGCUGCACAGGUGCAUGUAGGCGCCGCAGGUGUGCCAGGGGUAGAAGGAGUGGAAGCGGAUCAUGUAGAAGGCCUGCGGGGGCACAGCGCGGUGAGGGGGCUG